rnacentral:rRNA from 1 species
UACGAAGGGGGCUAGCGUUGUUCGGAAUCACUGGGCGUAAAGCGCACGUAGGCGGAUCGUUAAGUCGGAUGUGAAAUCCCCAGGCUCAACCUGGGAACUGCAUCCGAUACUGGAUGGCUUGAAUCCGGGAGAGGGAUGCAGAAUUCCAGGUGUAGCGGUGAAAUGCGUAGAUAUCUGGAGGAAUACCGGUGGCGAAGGCGGCAUCCUGGACCGGCAUUGACGCUGAGGAGCGAAAGCCAGGGGAGCAAACGGG